rnacentral:lncRNA from 1 species
UUGAAGGGUAUAUUUGAUAUUUUUUUCAAAUUUUUUAUUUUUUGAGUAGGCAAGAUACAUUACUAGAUGUCAAUCUUAUCUUCUAUUUUUUUUGAAUUAAAGUGAUUAAUUCAUAAGUCAAUUAGAAAAUAUUCUAAUUUGACAACAUGGGUUGGCAUAGUUUGGACUUUAAUAGAAUAGAAGUAGUCUAAUGAAAUUAGGUUAGCUAGCAUUAGGACCUACUACUAGCU